AUGUUGCCUCACUAUGGUCGUGCCUACUCCACUGAACUUUGACUAGAGGGAUCUCUUUAUUCCUUAACACGUGAACUUUCCUAUCCAAAAUAAUCGUCGGGUGCUCAUCAUAAGUUAAGUCCUUGUCAAGCUCCAGUUCAAUGUGACUCACAAUAUUGCUUGGGUCGUGGACGUAUUUCCUCAAAGACGAGACAUGGAAGACGUUAUGUAUCGAAGUCAGGCUUGGCGGCAAUGCUAACCGAUAUGCUACUUCACCAACUCUCUCGAGAAUAUCAAAGGGUCCAAUGUAACG
rnacentral:lncRNA from 1 species